GGGAUAAUCCCGGGAAACUGGGGAUAAUACCCUAUAGAUUACAGAUGCUGGAAUGCUCUGUAGUCCAAAGUUCCGGCGCCUCAGGAUGGAUCUGCGGCCGAUUAGGUUGUUGUUGGGGUAAUGGCCCAACAAGCCAGUGAUCGGUACGGGUUGUGGGAGCAAGAGCCCGGAGUUGGAUUCUGAGACACGAAUCCAGGCCCUACGGGGCGCAGCAGGCGCGAAAACUUUACAAUGCGGGCAACCGUGAUAAGGGAACCUCGAGUGCCUGUAUAUGCAGGCUGUCCAGGUGUCUAAAACACACCUGAAGAAAGGGCCGGGCAAGACCGGUGCCAGCCGCCGCGGUAAUACCGGCGGCUCGAGUGGUGGCCACUUUUAUUGGGCUUAAAGCGUUCGUAGCUGGGUUGUUAAGUCUCUUGGGAAAUCUGGCAGCUUAACUGUCAGGCGUCUAAGGGAUACUGGCAAUCUUGGGACCGGGAGAGGUGAGGGGUACUUCGGGGGUAGGAGUGAAAUCCUGUAAUCCUCGAGGGACCACCUGUGGCGAAGGCGCCUCACCAGAACGGCUUCGACAGUGAGGGACGAAAGCUGGGGGAGCAAACCGGAUUAGAUACCCGGGUAGUCCCAGCCGUAAACGAUGUGCGUUAGGUGUAUCGACGACCACGAGUUGUCGAGGUGCCGAAGGGAAACCGUGAAACGUACCGCCUGGGAAGUCCGCUCCGCAAGGCUG
rnacentral:rRNA from 1 species